UACAGAGGUCUCAAGCGUUGUUCGGAUUCAUUGGGCGUAAAGGGUGUGUAGGUGGCGCGGUAAGUCGGGUGUGAAAUCUUGGAGCUUAACUCCGAAACUGCAUUCGAUACUGCCGUGCUUGAGGACUGGAGAGGAGACUGGAAUUUACGGUGUAGCGGUGAAAUGCGUAGAUAUCGUAAGGAAGACCAGUGGCGAAGGCGGGUCUCUGGACAGUUCCUGACACUGAGGCACGAAGGCCAGGGGAGCAAACGGG
rnacentral:rRNA from 1 species